rnacentral:rRNA from 1 species
CUGAGGUACGAAAGCGUGGGGAGCAAACAGGAUAAAAUACCCUGGUAGUCCACGCCGUAAACGAUGUCAACUAGUUGUUCGUGUCAUUAAGACGUGAGUAACGCAGCUAACGCACUAAGUUGACCGCCUGGGGAGUACGGCCGCAAGGUUAAAACUCAAAUGAAUUGACGGGGGCCCGCACAAGCGGUGGAGCAUGUGGUUUAAUUCGAUGCAACGCGAAGAACCUUACCAUCCCUUGACAUCCAGUGAACUUUCCAGAGAUGGAUUGGUGCCUUCGGGAACACUGAGACAGGUGCUGCAUGGCUGUCGUCAGCUCGUGUUGUGAGAUGUUGGGUUAAGUCCCGCAACGAGCGCAACCCUUAUCCUUAGUUGCCAGCACGUAAUGGUGGGAACUCUGGGGAGACUGCCGGUGAUAAACCGGAGGAAGGUGGGGACGACGUCAAGUCAUCAUGGCCCUUACGGGAUGGGCUACACACGUGCUACAAUGGCGCAUACAAAGGGCAGCAAGCCAGCGAUGGUUAGCGAAUCUCAUAAAAGUGCGUCGUAGUCCCGGAUCGGAGUCUGCAACUCGACUCCGUGAAAGUCGGAAUCCCCUAGUAAUCGUGGGAUCAGAAUGCCACGGUGAAAUACGUUUCCCGGGCCUUGUACACACCGCCCGUCACACCCAUGGGAGUGGGGCUUGCACCAGAAGUGGUUAGUUUAACCCUCCGGGAGAACGAUCACCACGGUGUGGUUCAUGACUGGGGUGAAGUCGUAACAA